UGCAUGCAGUUGCAUGGGACAUACUACUUCUUCAUAAUAUUGCGCCUUGAACUUUUACCCUCUUGCUCAUAUAUGCCGUGCAAAGGAUUGUGGGCCAGAAAAGCCAGAAAAGCACAUUGG